rnacentral:rRNA from 1 species
UACGGGAGGCAGCAGUGGGGAAUAUUGCACAAUGGGCGCAAGCCUGAUGCAGCCAUGCCGCGUGUAUGAAGAAGGCCUUCGGGUUGUAAAGUACUUUCAGUCGUGAGGAAGGUGUUAAGGUUAAUAACCUUAGCAAUUGACGUUAGCGACAGAAGAAGCACCGGCUAACUCCGUGCCAGCAGCCGCGGUAAUACGGAGGGUGCGAGCGUUAAUCGGAAUUACUGGGCGUAAAGGGCACGCAGGCGGUUAAUUAAGUUGGAUGUGAAAUCCCCGGGCUUAACCUGGGAAUGGCAUUCAAGACUGGUUAGCUAGAGUCUUGUAGAGGGGGUAGAAUUCCAUGUGUAGCGGUGAAAUGCGUAGAGAUGUGGAGGAAUCCGGUGCGAAGGCGGCCCCUGGACAAAGGCUGACGCUCAUGUGCGAAAGCGUGGGGAGCAAAC